rnacentral:rRNA from 1 species
UACGGAGGGUGCAAGCGUUAUCCGGAUUCACUGGGUUUAAAGGGUGCGUAGGUGGGCAAGUAAGUCAGUGGUGAAAUCUCCGGGCUUAACCCGGAAACUGCCAUUGAUACUAUUUGUCUUGAAUACUGUGGAGGUCAGCGGAAUAUGUCAUGUUGCGGUGAAAUGCUUAGAUAUGACAUAGAACACCAAUUGCGAAGGCAGCUGGCUACACAAAUAUUGACACUGAGGCACGAAAGCGUGGGGAUCAAACAGG